ACGGCUCAGUAACACGUGGCCAAACUACCCUACAGACGGGAACAACCUCGGGAAACUGAGGCUAACACCUGAUACGCGUUGCACGUUUGAAUACGGCGACGCUCAAACGCUUCGGCGCUGUAGGAUGUGGCUGCGGCCGAUUAGGUAGACGGUGGGGUAAUGGCCCACCGUGCCGAUAAUCGGUACGGGUUGUGAGAGCAAGGGCCCGGAGACGGAAUCUGAGACAAGAUUCCGGGCCCUACGGGGCGCAGCAGGCGCGAAACCUUUACACUGCACGCCAGUGCGAUAAGGGGACCCCGAGUGAAAGGGCAUAUCGCCCUUUCUUUUCUAGAUUGUAGGGAGAUCCAGGAACAAGAGCUGGGCAAGACCGGUGCCAGCCGCCGCGGUAAUACCGGCAGCUCAAGUGAUGACCGAUUUUAUUGGGCCUAAAGCGUCCGUAGCUGGCCGCGCAAGUCUGUCGGGAAAUCCACCCGCUCAACGGGUGGGCGUCCGGCGGAAACUGUGCGGCUUGGGACAGGAAGGCUCGAGGGGUACGUUCGGGGUAGGAGUGAAAUCCCGUAAUCCUGAACGGACCACCGAUGGCGAAAGCACCUCGAGAGGACUGAUCCGACAGUGAGGGACGAAAGCUGGGGUCUCGAACCGGAUUAGAUACCCGGGUAGUCCCAGCCGUAAACGAUGUUCGCUAGGUGUGACACUCACUACGAGUGAGUGUUGUGCCGCAGGGAAGCCGCUAAGCGAACCGCCUGGGAAGUACGUCCGCAAGGAUGAAACUUAAAGGAAUUGGCGGGGGAGCAC
rnacentral:rRNA from 1 species